rnacentral:rRNA from 1 species
AACGAACGCUGGCGGCAUGCCUAACACAUGCAAGUCGAACGAGACCUUCGGGUCUAGUGGCGCACGGGUGCGUAACGCGUGGGAACCUGCCCUUAGGUUCGGAAUAACUCCCCGAAAGGGGUGCUAAUACCGGAUAAUGUCUUCGGACCAAAGAUUUAUCGCCUUUGGAUGGGCCCGCGUUGGAUUAGCUAGUUAGUAGGGUAAAAGCCUACCAAGGCGACGAUCCAUAGCUGGUCUGAGAGGAUGAUCAGCCACACUGGGACUGAGACACGGCCCAGACUCCUACGGGAGGCAGCAGUGGGGAAUAUUGGACAAUGGGCGAAAGCCUGAUCCAGCAAUGCCUCGUGAGUGAUGAAGGCCUUAGGGUUGUAAAGCUCUUUUACCCGGGAUGAUAAUGACAGUACCGGGAGAAUAAGCUCCGGCUAACUCCGUG